UACGUAGGGUGCGAGCGUUUGUCCGGAAUUAUUGGGCGUAAAGAGCUCGUAGGCGGUUUGUCGCGUCUGCCGUGAAAGUCCGGGGCUCAACUCCGGAUCUGCGGUGGGUACGGGCAGACUAGAGUGAUGUAGGGGGAGACUGGAAUUCCUGGUGUAGCGGUGAAAUGCGCAGAUAUCAGGAGGAACACCGAUGGCGAAGGCAGGUCUCUGGGCAUUAACUGACGCUGAGGAGCGAAAGCGUGGGGAGCAAACAGG
rnacentral:rRNA from 1 species